AUUUCUGUGUCAUUCUUUGCCAAGGAUAACCGCUCGCGGGUCCAUAAGCGGAGCCCGAACAACCGCUACAACCGGCAGUGCUUCGCCGCAGCUCGAAAGAGGCAACCGACACCGACAGAAAUUCCUGAUAUUUCCUGCAAGAACAACCAUGAAAGCAACAAUUUUCAUCGUAGCCCUUGUGGUUGUCUUGUGCACGACCGCCUUCGGAUGCGACCACAUGGGCUACCGCCGGGAUGCGGGCCGCUGCAAGACGAAACACGAAACCAAUUUGCAACAGGCGUCAGCUUCCCAGAGAUGCUGCGCAUUCUAUGUCCUUUCGGAGUGCCUGAAGCUCGCCUCUCGAUACUCGGACUGUCCUCAGACUUAUGCCAUGGCAGAGCUGAAAGAGCUCCGCGAUGCAAGCCGCUUGACCCCAGACCAAUGCCAAGGUGGACGAGAGCAAUGUGGUGACGCGCAGAAAAGGCAAUACUAGUCCCAGCGCUGCCACCUUAAAAGGCGCCGACUAUGUCACAAGUGUGACACCUGUCACCUCACGCUGCUGCUCUCACGCUCUCAGUUAGGAAGGACACAUCCAUAAUGCUGGACAUUAUUUACAGGAGAAGAAC
rnacentral:misc_RNA from 1 species